rnacentral:rRNA from 1 species
CCGGGUGCGUAACACGUAGCUGACCUGCCCCUCAGCGGGGGACAACAGUGCGAAAGCGCUGCUAAUACCGCAUACGCACCGCGCUUUUAGAAAGCGCGGCGGAAACUUACGGGGUUGAGGGAGGGAGCUGCGGCCCAUCAGGUAGUUGGUGCGGUAGCGGCGCACCAAGCCGACGACGGGUAGGGGGCCUGAGAGGGUGGUCCCCCACACUGUGACUGACACACGGCCCAGACUCCUACGGGAGGCAGCAGUAAGGGAUAUUGCGCAAUGGGCGAAAGCCUGACGCAGCAACGCCGCGUGGAGGAUGACGGCCUUCGGGUUGUAAACUCCUUUUGGCUCGGACGAGGAAGGACGGUACGGGUCGAAGAAGUCACGGCUAACUACGUGCCAGCAGCCGCGGUAAAACGUAGGUGGCGAGCGUUAUCCGGAUUUACUGGGCGUAAAGCGUGUGCAGGCGGUCGUUCAAGUGGUGUAUGAAAUCGCCCGGCUUAACCGGGCGGGGUUAGGCCAGACUGGACGACUGGAGUGCGGGAGAGGGGCGUGGAAUUCCGGGUGUAGUGGUGAAAUGCGUAGA